UUUCCCUGCAGAGGCCAAGAGACCAAAUUUGCUAGGGAUUGAGGCUCAACCUUUGUCAAGCAGAGUUUUCAAGGAGAUGAAAUCUUCUGAUUGAAGAUCCUUUAGAAGCUUUUUAAGAAGAUCUGGGAGGGUGGGCCAAAUCUGUUGGUAGUAGGAAUGGUGAGAAGGGAGAAGGUGUUGAUUCUUCUGUUCCAGCGGCACACAGAGCGAAGACCAGUUAACUACAGUGAUGCAAGUGGUUUCAGUGGAAUUGAUGACAGAUGUUUAUUUGGGUGAGGUACUACUGGAAAUUGGGGGAUAAUAAUUUGGUUGAUGACCCUGAGUUCUCAAAAAAUUCAAUUCCCUCAUCCCUUUGGUUUCUUGAAGAAU